AUGAAGUUCGAUGAGGAUAAUCUAUUUAAAGUAGCUCCUAACAUAGUAAAGUUCUUGAUUAAUAAAGAUCAGCCUAACUCUAAGCAAUAUCUAAAGGGUUGCCUACCAAGUAGCUUACCUAUGCUUAAGAUGUUUGGUAUCUAUACGCUUGAGGCUAUCAUGAUUCAUGUACUAGGCUUGGUAUCCAACACUCUUCAGGAAUCAUCCGUAGUUAAGGCAGCUAGAUUUAUAGAUCAACUUAAUUCAACUGUACAAGAACAAGAAAGGUUUAUACAAUACAAAGCACCAGGUAGCGGUAAGGUGGAAGCAGUACUCACUAGUAAGGUAGAAUCAGUUAAGGAUGUUGUUCAGCCCAAAGGUGCUAGCAAAAAAGAGAAAAAGAAAAAAUGCAGUGUCAUUAUGAUACCGGGAAAUACUUGCUCCAAUUCAUGA
rnacentral:rRNA from 1 species